UUCAUACUUGCCUAAAGCUACAGGACAGUGUAAGCUCUUUCACGCAAGCGAAAAAUUCCCUUUUCUAGCUCUUUCCCAUGAAUGAAGAACAAACAUCUAGUCAGUACUGAUGCAGUUUAGAUAGUUAAGCAUCACCAGAGUUGCGCCGCACAGGAACUCAAGAUCAAAAAGACUUCAUUUCCUUCACGUAUUAGUCAACCCCAUAGUGAAAAAAGAAAGAAAGAAAGAAAGGAAUAGAUUGCGAGAUUAUCCUGUUAUAUAUGAGGGUUUUACCAUCUGGGAUUUGGCCAGACACUAGCAUGAGGAACAUCAAACCAAACUUCACUGCCUUGACGAUCAGUAGCCUGCCGUAGAGCGCGGCAUCUUUAGGUCUUCAUUGUGGCAGAACUGCAGCAUCCAAAUGCUAGCAUUUGAUUGAAAUUAUAGUGAAAUUAAUUAAAUUGCCUGAACAAUUAUCCAACCAACAUGAGAUGCCAAAGGGAGAGGAGAAAAUGUAUGCUCCCAACUUUAAUUUGGAAGCACUCUUGUAUUCCUCCAUUUCCAGACAGGCUAAGACGAAAUAUUCACCUUUGUAAUAUGUUGAUGGAAUUGAUUCCAUUUUAUCUUACAAUAGAGAAAGGUAGUUCAUAUUCAAUUCCUUCCACAAUCUUAGAUGUGCA
rnacentral:lncRNA from 1 species